UUUCGAAUCAUUCACAAUGGGCGAAAGCCUGAUGGUGCGACGCCGCGUGAGUGAAGAAGGCCUUCGGGUUGUAAAGCUCUUUCGGCCGGGACGAAAUCGCAUGCGUGAAUAUCGUGUGUGGAUGACGGUACCGGAAUAAGAAGCACCGGCUAACUACGUGCCAGCAGCCGCGGUAAUACGUAGGGUGCGAGCGUUAAUCGGAAUUACUGGGCGUAAAGCGUGCGCAGGCGGUUUCGUAAGCCAGAUGUGAAAUCCCCGGGCUUAACCUGGGAACUGCAUUUGGGACUGCGAGGCUAGAGUACGGCAGAGGGAGGUGGAAUUCCACGUGUAGCAGUGAAAUGCGUAGAUAUGUGGAGGAACACCGAUGGCGAAGGUAGCCUCCUGGGCUAGUACUGACGCUCAUGCACGAAAGCGUGGGGAGCAAACAGG
rnacentral:rRNA from 1 species